ensembl:lncRNA
CUGAUUAAGGAGGCGUUUAAUUUGACCGCGUGAUUUGGAAGACUCUAAUGAUUGGUCCAAUUACGUCGCUUUGCUUAAUUAAAAUUUUUGUCGUUGUUGUUUGUUUUUAAUACAGCGCAGCAACAAACCGCCUACAUGGCAAAAUUACCAUAAAGGCUUUCAGUAAACAUAAAAAUUGAGUUUAUAAGGAAAGAGAGAGGGAAAUGAAAGAAUUGGACAGGGAAAAGCUCCUGCAUUAAGAUUGACGUGUCUUACAUUGGGCUCAGGACAGCUCCCUGGUAUCAGUCGGGGUAUGUGGCGGCGGGGCGUGGUCGAGUGUCAGCUGUGGACAGGGAGGAGGCGGGAUGAACUGGCAGUAGAAAACACUGACCAGCCAAAUGAAGCUCUGGAAGGAGAGGAUGAAGUUUUACACACACCAUGUGAACACACCAACCAACAGGACAACGUUUCCCAAAGGCAUCCCAGAACAAUGAUCACUGGUAGAUUUUAGAGUGAGCAACACAUCAAACUCCAGUUUUCCUGAAGAGCAGUGUAAAGUGGACCUACAAUAAAAGUUAGUUUAUUUGAUUAAAUCUCACUAAAUAAACAGGCAG